AUUGGAAAGAAAAGGCUCCAGCAGCAAUCUGACAGCUUCUGAACUUCUCAACAAUUUCAUCAUACUCAACUCUCUCAUCAAACUUAAACUUAGCAAUAGAAGAUUUACACGGUCCAAUGUCAAAGAAAAUGCUUUCAUGGCGCAACUAGAUAGAUGUUUGAUAUCCCUGGAAUGGCACAAUGCAUACCCCUUGGCCUUCAUGUCACCUGUGGCAAGAACAGUCUCUGAUCAUAUCCCUCUUCUCCGGCACUUUGAAGCAAAAAAUCAAGGUAUGAC
rnacentral:lncRNA from 1 species